AAUCACAGAAUCCCAGAAUCCCAGGUUGGAAGGGACCUCAGGGAUCAUCUAGCCCAACCUUUCUAGGAAGAGCACAGUCUAGACAAGAUGGCCCAGCACCCUGUCCAGACAACUCUUGAAGGUGUCCAACGUGGCCGAGUCAACCACUUCCCUGGGGAGAUUAGUCCAAUGGUGACUGUCCUCAUUGUGAAGCUGAGAAGCCUUGCAGCAAAUGAUUGUAUUUUGCUACAGAAUACGACCACAACAGAGUGAAAACAGAGUCCUUGAAGCGGCACCAUGUGAACCAGGUGUGGCCCCGGCGUGCCGGAAUAAUACACUCACCUUGUCCACAAUGCAGAUCGGCUUCUUGCUUUGCACAUCAAGAAUUUCCACUUCAAACAUUUGAAAUAACACAUCUAGAGAGUCCCUAUUAGAAGAAGCCAGAUCCUGAAAUUCCAGAGCCCCAGAGGACUCGGGUAUGAAUGCAGCAAAUUCCACUCUUACCUACUGAGACGGAUGUUUAAAAGUGUCUACCUACGCGCAUAGGUAUAGACUUUUCUGCCUAUACAGCUAAAUCAGCUGCCCCCAGACUACUACCAUUCUCAGUAAUGACCCUGAUGAAGAAGUGAUGCUACCCCAACUUGGAUAUUGUCCUGGGCUAGUGCCUUCUGUUUCAUCUUUAUUUCUGCCAAGACUACACCAGGAUCCCCUCACUAGUGUUGUUUAAAACAGUAAAGGAAAUAUACCAUAUUUAAGACACUACAAGAAACCCACUCUUUAUUUAUACCUCAGAAGCAGAAUUGAAGUUUCACCUGAGAUCAGACCAUUUUUCCACUAGGGCUGGGGCCCGGUCCAGCAUGGGCAGCAGGGCUCAGCCAGGCAGCUCUGCUUGCAGCAGGGUUGGGUGAAAAUGUCACUGACCUACUACUUCCAGUUCAGCAGGAUCGCAUGGUCAAGAUUACCACCUCAUCGAACUUGCCAUCUUCACACCUGGAGCCGACACAUACCCUGAAAUAAAACCUGACUUUCAUGAGGAAACCCAGCCAGACUGCAGGAUCCUGACAGAAUCACACUGCAGACAACUGUGGUCAUCACUACCAUAAAAAAUCCCUGCUCCAACUUGCUUUCUGCUGCAGCUUUCUACUGAGAGCAAACCACAUACCAGUACCGCAGUUUAGAGGUCUUUGUGCCAGAGCUCUUGGUGUUAUUACAGCCUCAAGAGGAACUGGCUGUACCUGCAAGUCUCAUUACAGCGUUUAGAACAAAGCAGACUGACCACUGGUGGUGCUGCUGAUCACUGGUGUAAGCUAAGCACAGGACUACCUAUACAGAGGGAAACAGAGACUCCACCUUGGAAUGUUUCACAGAAUCACAGACUCCCAGGUUGGAAGGGACCUCAGGGAUCAUCUAGUCCAACCUUCCUAGGAAGAGCACAGCCUAGACAAGAUGGCCCAGCACCCUGUCCAGACGACUCUUGAAGGUGUCCAACAUGGCCGAGUCAACCACUUCCCUGGGGAGAUUAUUCCAAUGGUGACUGUCCUCACUGUGAAGAGUUUUCCUCUUGUGUCCAAUCGGAAUCUCCCCAAGAGCAACUUGUGGCCAUUCCCCCUGCCCGGGACCUCACACAUUUCCUUCAGAGCACUUCCUUACCAGACUAACACCCAUUUAAACUUAAAUACAUGGUUCUUAAGCCAGAAUAAAAAUACAGCUUUAAUGAAUAGGACCAAAAAAGAGUUUCUCUUGAAGUUUCUCCCAGAAAAUAUCUCUAUUUUCAGCUAGCUGUAGCAUUCAAGGGUAAAAAAGAAUCUGUCAGAACAGAAACAUAGCAACCGUCUAUCUUGCUUUUGCACAUCUUACCAGAAGGUAAGGAUGAAAUAAUUUCUGCUUGUUCUGCUUGUAUAAACUGUGUUAUUACAUGCUAACUACUGCAGCGCACCUUUUUAAAACACUCCUAAACAAAGUGAAAGGUUCUUUUAAGAACAGUGGAGGCCCCAGGAAUCCUAGACGUACAGCCCAGCAGGUCCCCUGCUGUGGCUGAUGCACAGGCUGGAGUCAUUGCCGGUGGGGCGCUGCGCAGACCUGCAAACCUGGCGGACCAGGAGACAGGCUGAGCUCCUCAGGCCCAUGCCUUUAGUUAGCACUGCUGAGAUGCUGAUAAAGAAGUAGUCAGACAACUUCACCAGCAAAAUCCUUAAUUUUAAUUGCUUUAAUACUGUUCUGUGUAUUGCUAAAGGGCAAGUUCUGAGCCAAAAAUUAAUGGGUUCCUACUUGAUGCUCUCUAGAUUUUGAGAGACAAGCAUUUCAGUAUCAGUAGUUUCUCACAUAGAUAUACUUUUCCAGCUCUCUUGCAAAAUGCAACCCAAAAAAAGGCAAACUCUUCAGCAGCAGCAUGUGCCUCAUUUUCAAUAGCUCUGUCAGCUUUGUCUCAAAGAAGCUGAAGUACAGUUUACAUCUCUCCCUCCUGAAAUCCAACAACUGAUGGAAACAAUACAGGACAAUAUAAAAGUGCCAUUGUAGCAUCUGUAACUACUUAAAAACACCAGAACAAGCAGAAAGUCAUUAGCAAGACUACUGAAACCCACAAAUUAAAUUAUAUAUUUCUCCCCUGAGGAAAAUGGGAGAUUGAGCAUCGCAAACUAUUCCAGAGUAAAAGACCAUCUGGGCAGAAUUUUGAAAACCACAGCAAGUGCAUUAGCGUGGGUUGGGCGUUUGGCCAGAGAGAGCUUUCCAAAAACUGAAGGCCUCAGGGUGCUCGGUGGACAGUGACCCGGAGGCUGAGCUCAGAAGCAACACAAACCGAAAUGAAAUUCUUUGCUGCAGCCAGAAGAAACUUGGGUUUGGUUGAUUAACACCAACAUGUUUAUGUCCUUGAUUAAAAGUAUCUGAAUGAAGGACUUAAAAAAGGAAAUAUUUUGAAACCUAAGAAAGAUAGUAACAUUUUAUGGGAUAAAAGGUUUAGAGAUAUUUCAGUUUAGUUGUUGUCUCAUUCAGAUUAUUUUAGCCUAGAAAUUAAUAAAAUAUGGCUAUUCACACCAUCCAGCACAGGAAACUGCUGGAUGGUACAAAAAUGUACCUUUCCUAUAUACAUAAUCAGUGGACAGAAGGUAGAACAAGGCACCUAAAUCAGGCCUGGGAAAAAACACUCCCUUUUCUGUGGAGUUGCAUGCCUAAGGUUGGGCUCUCUGAAUAUCCUUCUAGUUGUCCACCAUCAGAAACUCACAAGGAAUGAAAGCUCUGCUUUCUGGUCUGCUUUAGUCACUAUGUAACCUAAAUUUUGGAAUUGGCGAACUUCUCAGAAAUGGAGGGCAGGGGUCCAGUCAAGCCGUAGGUAAUCAGAAACUGCACUUGAGAUUUCAGCUACAAAAAGCCUUCCAGUAGCACAGGACUCCCGUGAGACUUAAGACGAGUUACUUACUACCCCACUCUCAGGGCAGCGCAUGUGCACACCUGCCACCAGAGAGUGAAGGACAAGGUCAUCAUUCCAACGUUAACACUUGCAGACAAGCUUUUUAUUAUGAAAACAUCUGCAUAAAUCUGUUAGCCCCAGCACAUUUAUUGUCAUUCCUUAGUGGGCAGCCAAGAUCAAGGUCUGGCCUUCCUUUUUCAGCACGCAGCCCAAUUAACAACAGAUACAUAUAUUAAAUAAAAGCCUAUUCUGAGAGCUUUUAUUUAUCAUUUUGUUUGCAGAGUAAAUAGGUUAGGUUUAAUUUGUGUUUGUUAAAGUCCAUGAAGGUGGCUGAAUGAGAGACAAAUACAAUUAUCUUUACUAUGGGAAUAAACAUAUAAUGAAAUCCUAGCUUUCCCUCUUGAAAAUAACAUACUUCACAAUAAGUAUAGAUUUUGGCAAAGCAAUGUUCCCCUGCCACACAGCACAUGUUUAAUGAAGUUACUCCUCAGCUGUUUGGUGCUGAACUGAAUUGAGCCAAAAUGAGAAGCUAACUGAGUUUGUAAUCACUCCUAGUCCAUUAAAGUGGAAGCCUCCACCAAAGGAAAACACUUUGCAGUUUCAGUCUAAAAAGUAUGUCAGCUUAUCAAAAAUAUAAUAAUUCUGUAUUUCACAAAGCAAUUAGAGCAGAAAGCAAUCGCAGAACGGAAUUAGGAGGGACUUGUGAUCAGAUCUUCCAUCAGGAUCGCUCAGACCAGAUGGGUUCAUACAACCUCAGAACUCUCCCUUUGCCUUGUCACAUUCUGGCCAGCAACAGCUUUGGCACGCGUAUACUGAAAGAAUGCCAAUGGCACUUGCCUGCACUGCAAUUAAUAAGCAAGGUUUUAAUUUACCUAUUUAAAAAAUUACAUUCUAGGAAGCUAAUGCAAAGCCAUUUUAUUAACAAAACAAAGUAUUUUCUUUGGCCUGAAUGAAUGACUCCAAUAUUACACAGCCCACCCAAACUCAUAAGGGAAGAUUUUUUGUUUCAGAAAAAAAACCAAGACUUUUUGCAUGGAAAACUAUGUCACUGGAACAGUAUGUGCUGCAAAAUGGAGCUUUAAUAGUCAGUAAAGACAGAAAAAGGCAGUGCUUGCUACCUCAUAGCUAGCAGGUUUUCAAAUUAUGGAAUUCAUCUGUCGCACUCCACUUAGCAUAUCUGUAUCACUUCAUCAAGUAAUGCCACCAUUAGAUAGUUAUUUUAAUAGUGAACAGGUAAGUGAACAGGUAAGGGUGAUUGAACGGGGAGGAAAAAGUCAAGAUUUUUUUUUCUUUUUCUCUGAUGCUGAAGAGUAAAGGUUCCUCUUUAACUUGCUUUAAGUGUGGAGGAAUCUGAAAAAAAGGGAAUGUAAAACAAGGCAAUUUACUUAAUACAAGAGAAAUCUGCAAGCUUAUUUCAGGGCAGAUCUCUAGUGGUUCUUGCACUUCUCAAGGCUAAAUGCACACAAAGAACUUUACUGCAUGGAUAAAUGAUUUACCAUACCAUAUGACUUCUGCACCUCCCCCUCGAGCAAGGAGAUUUUCCCAUUCAAUGUCCUGAUAUAAGCACUUGGAGAAGUGGGGAAUGCAUGGAUGCUUAUUUGGAGAAUUGCCUGACGCUCUUGGCAGUUUGUAUGUUCAACUGCUGCCUCUGCUGUGGAGGCUCAAAAGACUGUGGUGUAGCUAUCCCUGCUCCAUACAGCAGCAUGGGCACAGCCAGCCCGCUCAAGAGACCUCCAGACUUUGCAACCUAGACCUUGAGAACUACUUGACCAAAGACCACUGCUUUUCAGCUGCUGUGGAGAACAAAGACGGUAAAGAUGGAGACUGAAUUUUUAGGGACAAGUCUCAAGUCACUCUGAAGUUUGGACCACAGUUUGGUCUAUGUAAAUCGUUUAUCCAUGCAGUAAAGUUCUUUGCAGUAAAGACUUGUCCCUAAAAAUUCAGCAUCCAUGCAUUCCCCACUUGGGGACAUAUGGCAGCACAGUCGUAUGGUAUGGAACAUCCCUUUGGCCAGUUUGGGAUACUGUCCUGGUUUCAGCUGGGAUUAAUUUUUUUUCCUAGUAGCUGGCAUAGUGCUGCGUUUUGGAUGUAGUAUGAGAAUAAUGUUGAUAACACACUGGUGUUUUAGUUAUUGCUAAGUAGUGUUUAUACAAAAUCAAGGACUUUUCAGCUCCCCAUGCUUCUGCCAGGUGCACAAGAAGCUGGGAGGAGACACAGGCUGGACAACUGACCCCAACCGGCCAAAGGGAUAUUUCACACCAUAUGACAUCAUGCUCAGUAUAUUAAGCGGGGAGACUUGGCCAGGGGGCAGCAGUUGCUGCUUGGGGACAGGCUGGGCAUCAGUCAGCGGGUGGUGAGCAGUUGCAUCACUUGUUUCUCCUGGGUUUCGUUCCAGUCUCUCUCCUUUUUGUGGCUUUCCUUUUCACUACAAUAUUAUUAUUAUUGUUGUUAUUAUUAUGAUGAUUAUGAUUAUUAUAUUUUAAUUAUUAAACUGUU